AAAUACCGGAUACACAGACAGUGUUUCAUUUGUACUUAUCUUUGCAUAUGAUUGAUGAUCGUAUGACACUCUUGGAUCCAGUUUGAAGAGUUUAUGUCUGUUUGCCAGCAUCACAUCAGCACACAUCAGCGCGCUAGGCCUCCCCUGACCGGUCCCACUAGAGGCUGUGUGGAAAGAGAUCAGCUUGUUGGAGAGGGGGUGCUCUUUUUCAGACAGAGGCAUCAUGGGAAGUCCGCUGUUACCCCCAAUUCCUAAGUUGUGCUGGAAGUAGGUUAAUGCAAUUUAUUUUGAAAAGUUCCAGAAGAGUUUGUACCGGAGUUUAAUGUUGAAAUCCAUGGCUGUGGGUCCCACCAAGUGGUAGACUUUAUGUGGGAAAGUUUAGGGAAAAUGUAGGUCUGAGACAGAAGUACAAGAAGUGCGUAUCCUGCAAGAAAACAGCUGGCAGAAUGCAGCACACGCACAUGUAAGUACCAGUAUUAAAAAAUAGAAGCAACCCUAAAAAGUGAAUCAAAGAGGACAUUCAUGUUGUAAAUUUAGAUCCUUACAUUUUACUUCUUCUACAGAUAUUCCACCUACAGAACCAGUGUGCUUUGCCUAUGUCACAAACACUCAGCAAUAUCUGAUGCUGUCCUGCUCCUGGGAUGGAGGGGCCCCAAAGGCCUUAGUGUGGUGGGAGGGACCAGGGGGCCAAAGCAACGGAGGGCAAGAAACUCCAACAUCCUGGUCCUCCGUUAUUGGACUGCCCGAAGUGGGAAACCCUACACCUGCUACACUAAACACCCACUUCUGAUGGAAGCAAAGAGUUGCAGGCUCACAUUGGAUUGUCUCACUUGAGCAAUGGAUCUCUGCAGCUACUCCAGAGUUCCGAUGGACCUCUUUUUAGCUUCUGGGUGCACAGGUGAUUUCUAAUGACUAAUUAGGAGACUUCAUUUAGGGGUAUCCAAACAAAAGGUACUGAAUGCUUUGUAAAAAAAUUUAAAAGCUAUACAUUUUUUCCUUUCAUUUUACAAUUAUGCAUUACUUGGUCUUUCAUCAUAAAUCCUAAUAAACUACUUUCAGGUUUGUGGUUGUCAUGUGAAGUUACAAAGUUUCAGGAUAAGGAAUACUUUAGCAAAACAAUGUGUUUACAGUAAGAUUCCACACUAAUAAGGGGAAAAAACAAAUGCAUUGUUUUUUUUAGAACCAAUGCAUAAGUUUAUUAUCAUAUUUAAAAUGUUUAGGGUGUUCAGAAAUACAGAAUUACCUGGUAGAAAGAGACAUUCAUAUAUUUUACCAAUAGCACUGAUGUUUGAUAAGGUUAACUUCUUGAAGAAAAGAAAUUAAGAAAUUGAUUAGGUUGUCAUAAACUUUCCUAAAGCUGAAAAGACCCAAAAAACCUGGUUUCAGAAAAUAGCGCCUGGCCUGGCAUGCACCAAAGCGUUUCCCUUACCUUUACCCUAUCUUUGAGCCCCUGACACCCUGCAUCUGCACUCCAGGAACAUUACAGAUCUGGAAGAUGGUGCCACUGAAAUUGAAUAGUGCUGUAGCUUCAGAUCUUAUUCAUUAACUUGUUCAUAAUAUGUGUAGGAGCCGUUCAUGGUCUUGUUGUUGGGUUAUGGGUCUUGGGUUUGAUUUAUUUUAUUUGGUUUGUUUUGGGUGGUGUUUUCACGCUGGUUUUCACACUGACCUAUAUUUGGUUCUACCACUGGUGGCGGUGUGGGGUAAACGUUAUACAGGUGCAGAGGUGAGAAGGCUGAAGGUUUGGGUGAGGGAAGGUCCUACGGUUUUUCUUGUGUUGUGUUAGAGCUCAGUGGAUUAAACAAUACAACCUUGCAAGCUGUUCAAUAAAUGGGAGCAUUCCCCAACAUA